rnacentral:rRNA from 1 species
GCUUGUCUCAAAGAUUAAGCCAUGCAUGUCUUAGUGUAAAUAACUCUUAUGAAACUGCGAAUGGCUCAUUAAAUCAGUUAUCAAAUACGUGAUGGUCGCCUACUACAUGGAUAACUGUGGUAAUUCUAGAGCUAAUACAUGCACAAAAACCCGACUUCGCAGAAGGGUUGUGUUUAUUAGAUACAGAACCAACCCAGACUCUGUCUGGUUGCUUGGUGAUUCAUGAUAACUGAAUGAAUCGCAUGCUUCGGCGGCGAUAAAUCAUUCAAGUUUCUGACCUAUCAGCUUCCGACGGUAGGGUAUUGGCCUACCGUGGCAAUGACGGGUAACGGAGAAUUAGGGUUCGAUUCCGGAGAGGGAGCCUGAGAAACGGCUACCACAUCUAAGGAAGGCAGCAGG